rnacentral:rRNA from 1 species
GACGAACGCUGGCGGCGUGCUUAACACAUGCAAGUCGAACGGAAAGGCCCUGCUUUUGUUGGGUGCUCGAGUGGCGAACGGGUGGGUAACACGUGAGUAACCUGCCCUUGACUCUGGGAUAACUUCAGGAAACUGGGGCUAAUACCGGAUAGGAGCUCCUGCUGCAUGGUGGGGGUUGGUAAGUUUCGGCGGUUGGGGAGGGACUCGCGGCUUAUCAGCGUGUUGGUGGGGUUGUGGCGUACCAAGGCUUUGACGGGUAGCCGGCCUGAGAGGGUGACCGGCCACAUUGGGACUGAGAUAGGGCCCAGACGCCUACGGGAGGCAGCAGUGGGGGAUAGUGCGCUAUGGGGGGAAGCCUGAUGCAGCAACGCCGCGUGCGGGAUGACGGCCUUCGGGUUGUAAACCGCUUUCGCCUGUGAUGAAGGGUGAGUGACGGUAAUGGGUAAAGAAGCACCGGCUAACUACGUG